GGAUAGUUAGCCUAAUGGUAAGGCAGCAGUUUGCUAAACUGUGGAGGUAAAACUCUUAUCGGUUCGAGUCCGAUACUGUCCGCCA
rnacentral:tRNA from 1 species